GACGGGUGAGUAACGCGUGGGAAUAUGCACUUUGGUACGGAAUAUCCUCUGGAAAUUGAGAGUAAUACCGUAUGUGUCCUCUGAUCGCGGUGGUUGGAGGAGAAAGAUUUAUCGCCUUAGGAUCUCCCCUUGUUGUAUUCCAUAGUAGGAGGGGCUAUGGCCUAACAUGUUUACUAUCCAUAGCUGGUAUGAGAGGAUGA
rnacentral:rRNA from 1 species